UGGCGGAUGCCUAGGCUUUCAGAGGCGACGAAGGACGUGGUAAGCUGCGAAAAGCUGCGGGGAUUGGCACACACGAAUUGAUCCGCAGAUGUCCGAAUGGGGCAACCCGGCAUGUUGAAGACAUGUCACCCAGCAAUGGGAGCAAACCCGGAGAACUGAAACAUCUAAGUACCCGGAGGAAAAGAAAUCGAAGAGAUUCCGUAAGUAGUGGCGAGCGAAAGCGGAUUAGCCCAAAAGUCUUUAUAUGUUUAGAAGAAUGUUCUGGAAAGAACAGCCAUAGAGGGUGAUAGCCCCGUAAUCGAAAGGCAUACAUAGAUGAUAAAUGAGUAGGGCGGGACACGUGAAAUCCUGUCUGAAUAUGGGGGGACCAUCCUCCAAGGCUAAAUACUCCUGAAAGACCGAUAGUGAACAAGUACUGUGAAGGAAAGGUGAAAAGCACUUCGAAUAGAAGGGUGAAAUAGAACCUGAAACCGUACGCCUACAAGCGGUCGGAGCACCUAUAUGGUGUGACGGCGUGCCUUUUGCAUAAUGAGCCUACGAGUUAAUUUUACUAGCGAGGUUAAGGACUUCAGGUCCGGAGCCGGAGCGAAAGCGAGUCUGAAUAGGGCGCAUAGUUAGUAGGAUUAGACGCGAAACCUUGUGAUCUACCCAUGGGCAGGUUGAAGCUCUGGUAACACAGAGUGGAGGACCGAACCGGUUGACGUUGAAAAGUCUUCGGAUGACCUGUGGGUAGGGGUGAAAGGCCAAUCAAACUCCGUGAUAGCUGGUUCUCCCCGAAAUGCAUUUAGGUGCAGCGUUGCGUGGUU
rnacentral:rRNA from 1 species